ACAAUGUGUAACAAAAAAUUUUAGAAAAA
rnacentral:sRNA from 1 species